AUUGAACGCUGGCGGAAUGCUUUACACAUGCAAGUCGAACGGUAGAGGGGGCAACCCCUUGAGAGUGGCGAACGGGUGAGUAAUAUAUCGGAACGUGCCCAGUCGUGGGGGAUAACGUAGUGAAAAUUACGCUAAUACCGCAUACGAUCUAAGGAUGAAAGCGGGGGAUCGCAAGACCUCGCGCGAUUGGAGCGGCCGAUAUCAGAUUAGGUAGUUGGUAGGGUAAAGGCCUACCAAGCCAACGAUCUGUAGCUGGUCUGAGAGGACGACCAGCCACACUGGACCUGAGACACGGUCCAGACGCCUACUGGAGGCAGCAGUGGGGAAUUUUGGACAAUGGGCGAAAGCCUGAUCCAGCCAUUCCGCGUGCAGGAUGAAGGCCCUCGGGUUGUAAACUGCUUUUGUACAGAACGAAAAGGUCUCUAUUAAUACUAGGGGCUCAUGACGGUACUGUAAGAAUAAGCACCGGCUAACUACGUGCCAGCAGCCGCCGUAA
rnacentral:rRNA from 1 species